GAUGAACGCUGGCGGCGUGCCUAAUACAUGCAAGUCGAGCGAACGGACGAGAAGCUUGCUUCUCUGAUGUUAGCGGCGGACGGGUGAGUAACACGUGGAUAACCUACCUAUAAGACUGGGAUAACUUCGGGAAACCGGAGCUAAUACCGGAUAAUAUUUUGAACCGCAUGGUUCAAAAGUGGAAGACGGUCUUGCUGUCACUUAUAGAUGGAUCCGCGCUGCAUUAGCUAGUUGGUAAGGUAACGGCUUACCAAGGCAACGAUGCAUAGCCGACCUGAGAGGGUGAUCGGCCACACUGGAACUGAGACACGGUCCAGACUCCUACGGGAGGCAGCAGUAGGGAAUCUUCCGCAAUGGGCGAAAGCCUGACGGAGCAACGCCGCGUGAGUGAUGAAGGUCUUCGGAUCGUAAAACUCUGUUAUUAGGGAAGAACAUAUGUGUAAGUAACUGUGCACAUCUUGAUGGUACCUAAUCAGAAAGCCACGGCUAACUACGUGCCAGCAGCCGCGGUAAUACGUAGGUGGCAAGCGUUAUCCGGAAUUAUUGGGCGUAAAGCGCGCGUAGGCGGUUUUUUAAGUCUGAUGUGAAAGCCCACGGCUCAACCGUGGAGGGUCAUUGGAAACUGGAAAACUUGAGUGCAGAAGAGGAAAGUGGAAUUCCAUGUGUAGCGGUGAAAUGCGCAGAGAUAUGGAGGAACACCAGUGGCGAAGGCGACUUUCUGGUCUGUAACUGACGCUGAUGUGCGAAAGCGUGGGGAUCAAACAGGAUUAGAUACCCUGGUAGUCCACGCCGUAAACGAUGAGUGCUAAGUGUUAGGGGGUUUCCGCCCCUUAGUGCUGCAGCUAACGCAUUAAGCACUCCGCCUGGGGAGUACGACCGCAAGGUUGAAACUCAAAGGAAUUGACGGGGACCCGCACAAGCGGUGGGGCAUGUGGUUUAAUUCGAAGCAACGCGAAGAACCUUACCAAAUCUUGACAUCCUUUGACAACUCUAGAGAUAGAGCUUUCCCCUUCGGGGGACAAAGUGACAGGUGGUGCAUGGUUGUCGUCAGCUCGUGUCGUGAGAUGUUGGGUUAAGUCCCGCAACGAGCGCAACCCUUAAGCUUAGUUGCCAUCAUUAAGUUGGGCACUCUAAGUUGACUGCCGGUGACAAACCGGAGGAAGGUGGGGAUGACGUCAAAUCAUCAUGCCCCUUAUGAUUUGGGCUACACACGUGCUACAAUGGACAAUACAAAGGGCAGCGAAACCGCGAGGUCAAGCAAAUCCCAUAAAGUUGUUCUCAGUUCGGAUUGUAGUCUGCAACUCGACUACAUGAAGCUGGAAUCGCUAGUAAUCGUAGAUCAGCAUGCUACGGUGAAUACGUUCCCGGGUCU
rnacentral:rRNA from 1 species